rnacentral:lncRNA from 1 species
UUAGAACUGAAAUUUUUAUUUGUAACUAGCGAAGUUCUAACUCUAGAAUCGAAGUUUUUAUUUGUAAACUGAACUUUGCAAGUGCAUGGCUGUAACUCUCUUUUUAUUCAGCGAACUAAGGUGUACCAGAAAACAGAAGAACUGAUACAGCUCAACGGUGUUAUCCAUGAGUGUGUGGAAGAUAAGAAAUGACUGGACAAGAAAAUAUACAGCACACUGACGAAGAAAACUAGUUACACUAAUAGAAUUUUUCUUGGCAAAAAGUUGAAGCUAUGACUUUCAGAUGAAAAUUGAUGAAACUCCACAACUACUAUA